GGACCCCCCUGAGCACACGUGUGUGGAUCCGAGCGCCACGAGACACUGCUGCGGGGGCUCUAGUUCCCCGUGGACACCGGUGUGGGGUUCUGGGCUCCUCUGGACACGUGGGGAGCUUCAGCAGCCUGCACGACAGCGGGCGAUCCUCUCUGGCUCAGUUUCCCAUCCGUAAAAGGUGGAGUUAAAAGGACCAGUCUCAAAGGAGAGGUUGCAAAUGAAUCAUUCAUUCGCAAAAACCACUUAGUAAGCACCUGCUAGACUCGUCUCUGGCCUCGAAAGGAGGCCCCAGGCCAGAAGAGGAGACAAACCCAGAAACGAGUAUAAAAUUGCUUUGUGAUGUUACAGGG